rnacentral:tRNA from 1 species
GAGGGUAUAGCUCAGUAGUAGAGUGCAUGCUUAGCAUGCACGAGGACCUGGGUUCAAUUCCCAGUACCCCCA